ensembl:ncRNA R11B5.6 ncRNA
AUGCAAAUCAACUACGAGGCGCGAACAAAGUGUAGCGUGCCGUGUUGUCGGAGGUGACAAGCCACGGGGGGAAUGAAGAAGUGCUGGUGUUCCGUGAGGUGCUGUUGGCAGUGAGCUUACUCUCAUAAUUA